rnacentral:rRNA from 1 species
GCCGAAAGGCGUAGUCGAUGGGAAACAGGUUAAUAUUCCUGUACUUGGUGUUACUGCGAAGGGGGGACGGAGAAGGCUAUGUUGGCCGGGCGACGGUUGUCCCGGUUUAAGCGUGUAGGCUGGUUUUCCAGGCAAAUCCGGAAAAUCAAGGCUGAGGCGUGAUGACGAGGCACUACGGUGCUGAAGCAACAAAUGCCCUGCUUCCAGGAAAAGCCUCUAAGCAUCAGGUAACAUCAAAUCGUACCCCAAACCGACACAGGUGGUCAGGUAGAGAAUACCAAGGCGCUUGAGAGAACUCGGGUGAAGGAACUAGGCAAAAUGGUGCCGUAACUUCGGGAGAAGGCACGCUGGUGUGUAGGUGAAGUCCCUGCGGAUGGAGCUGAGACCAGUCGAAGAUACCAGCUGGCUGCAACUGUUUAUUAAAAACACAGCAC